UGCCAGGGAGAGAAGAAACGGAGCUCACCAUGGGCUCGGAGAGAGGAGCUGCUCUGUGGAGCCUUCUCCUCAGCUUUGCUUUUCUCUUCUCCUGCUGCGAAGCCCAAGUGUUUCAGAGCCCUGAGUCGCUGGUUACUGGGGAAGGGAAGGUCUCCACCAUGUCCUGCUCCUUCACCAGCGCUUUCCAAGCCUUCCGGUGGUACCAGCAGCUGCCUGGGCAAGGGCCGACCUAUCUGCUGACUGUGAGCUCUAAUCAGAAUGACACUGUGGGGCGGUUCAUAGGCGAGCGCCUGGAAAGUGGGAAAGGGAGCUCCCUGCACAUCACCGACUCCCAGCUGCGGGACUCAGGCAGCUACCUCUGUGCGGUGGAUACACAGUGA